CCUACGGGAGGCAGCAGUGGGGAAUAUUGCACAAUGGGCGAAAGCCUGAUGCAGCAACGCCGCGUGAAGGAAGAAGGGUUUCGGCUCGUAAACUUCUAUCAACAGGGACGAAAGAAAUGACGGUUCCUGAAUCAGAAGCCCCGGCUAACUACGUGCCAGCAGCCGCGGUAAUACGUAGGGGGCAAGCGUUAUCCGGAAUUACUGGGUGUAAAGGGUGAGUAGGCGGCAUGGUAAGCCAGAUGUGAAAGCCUUGGGCUUAACCCGAGGAUUGCAUUUGGAACUAUCAAGCUAGAGUGCAGGAGAGGAAAGCGGAAUUCCUAGUGUAGCGGUGAAAUGCGUAGAUAUUAGGAAGAACACCAGUGGCGAAGGCGGCUUUCUGGACUGAAACUGACGCUGAGGCACGAAAGCGUGGGGAGCGAACAGGAUUAGAUACCCUGGUAGUC
rnacentral:rRNA from 1 species